rnacentral:ncRNA from 12 species
AAGCUUAGAGGUUGAAAAGUAUCCGCCUCCAACGCGCCGUCCUUGUGACGGGCCGAGAAAUGUGGGCGACCGCGGGUCCCGCCUAAGCUU